rnacentral:rRNA from 1 species
GAUCCUGGCUCAGAUUGAACGCUGGCGGCAUGCCUUACACAUGCAAGUCGAACGGCAGCGGGCCUUCGGGUGCCGGCGAGUGGCGAACGGGUGAGUAAUGCAUCGGAACGUGCCAUUGAGUGGGGGAUAACGUAGCGAAAGUUACGCUAAUACCGCAUAUUCUGUGAGCAGGAAAGCAGGGGACCGCAAGGCCUUGCGCUCUUUGAGCGGCCGAUGUCAGAUUAGCUAGUUGGCGAGGUAAAGGCUUACCAAGGCGACGAUCUGUAGCGGGUCUGAGAGGAUGAUCCGCCACACUGGAACUGAGACACGGUCCAGACUCCUACGGGAGGCAGCAGUGGGGAAUUUUGGACAAUGGGCGCAAGCCUGAUCCAGCCAUGCCGCGUGAGUGAAGAAGGCCUUCGAGUUGUAAAGCUCUUUCGGCCGGGAAGAAAUCGCAUGGGUUAAUACCCUGUGUGGAUGACGGUACCGGAAUAAGAAGCACCGGCUAACUACGUG